UACGGGGGGGGUAAGCGUUGUUCGGAAUUACUGGGCGUAAAGGGCUCGUAGGCGGCCAACUAAGUCAGACGUGAAAUCCCUCAGCUUAACUGGGGAACUGCGUCUCAUACUGGAUGGCUUGGAUUCGGGAGAGGAAUGCGGAAUUCCAGGUGUAGCGGUGAAAUGCGUAGAUAUCUGGAGGAACACCGGUGGCGAAGGCGGCAUUCUGGACCGAUAUUGACGCUGAGGAGCGAAAGCCAGGGGAGCAAACGGG
rnacentral:rRNA from 1 species